rfam:Nicotiana attenuata strain TT chromosome 9, whole genome shotgun sequence.
UGGACAGAUUAUUGUACUCGACUGUAUUCAUGGCGUGAAACAGGGGAUUACACUGUUUUUAAACGGAAAGUGUAUCAAUUAACAUAAUAGACUCCU